UAUUUAUUUGCUAUAAACAGUCGAUGGUAUCUCCAUCUCUCUAAUGCUACCACCAGGCCGGCUCAGGCGCUGAGCAAUGACUCCAAUGCCACUUUCGCAAACUUCUCGAGGCUGACCUAGCGGUUGUCCUGACAAAUGAGGUUAAGGAUCAGAAGAUCUUACAGAACUAUGUUUUCUAUCCCAACUUCUCUUACUAGGUGGAGGAGGAGGAGGGGGGGGGGUUAAUAUUAUUAACUAUCAUAAGAAUGUGUCAACAAAAUCAUUUAGGCACACCAGUUAAACCAGAGUCUGGGUUUAUCCAAGUAACAAAAUAUUACUAACCUUUGAUGUAACAAUAGCAUUGUUUUUGACAUGCUUAACACACAGCCAGGCAGAUUCUGCAUCACGAAGCUCGUCAUUGGAAUCCUGGAGAUGCCAUCGACUGUUUGUAACAAAUAGAAU
rnacentral:pre_miRNA from 1 species